AUCCUUAAGGUCCCUUCCAGCCAAAACCAUUCUAUCAUUCUCUGAGCUAAUCUCAUAGCCUGGAAAGAAGCCUUUGUGAUGGUCACUUUUAAUGCCCUGUCUGUUUUCACUCUCAGGGAAUGCUGGACUCCUCAGGUCAGCAGAAACUCAACUGUGUGGUGCUGCGAGGUGCUGCGGCCCAGGUCCUCUAUGGUUCCUACCUUCAAAGAAAUCCAGUGCCUGUGAAGGUUUACUCAGGCUAAUCAGCAAAGAUAUGCCAACAAUUAAACCCAGAAGAACAUCCCAGCUGUGCACAUGAUGUGUGUGUGCCUGAACACAUUGUUGCACAUUGCAGGCAUUUUUAGCAAGAAACAGAUGCCCAUACUUUUGUAAAUUCUGUGUGAAGGACAAUGACACUUUUCCCAGUAAGUUUUUGUUCAAAGUAUUAAAGGUUUGUAGUUUUAGAGCUUUUAAACCUGAUUUUUUUAUCCAAUUCAAUUUGACAUUUCUAUUUUCUUAUCCCUGAUAAAUUAGCUUUCCUAGCUAAAUGUAAAAUUUACCAUUGUGAAGCUUAAUGUACUGUGCUAAAUAUAACAUUCUUAACUAUCCAUGUUUUUCUUUCUUGAAACAUAAGCCUUAAGCAUUUAACGUACAUCCCUUCAUCAGCAUAAGAUACUGAUUUGUCAGAGGCAAGUCAAGCCUGUUGUAGCUCUUGACACACAUGGCAGCAAGACUGAACUCAUCUCUCAUGGUCUCUGAAACUCUGAUUUCGGAAAAAUGGCAACGAUACCACUGAACACUGUACCACUGAAUAUUGAAAUUACUUUUUCCCCAUAAAAAUUGACAUUCUGGUUUUUAGUAUUCAUAUAGCUAAAAACAUAAAUAAUUGUUUAAGCAGUUAGCAGAUGGCUGCCUCAAGUUUUCUGCCAUAUUGGAGACUGAUCUGUCCUGUAAUCUACAAGUAUUUUCUGAAAAAUCAGAAGCAAAGACAAACUGAAUUAAAAAGUCAGGACAGUGAAGUUACACAGUACAGCAUUUACCCUUUGAUUUUUUGAAAGAAAGAUAUGUCAUGCAUGCAUGCUCCUACACAGCCCUGGAUAUGAUCCUGAAACUACAAACCAUUUGCUUAUUUAAAGCUCUGUGCAGCUAACAAUGCUGCAGGGCUAGUAAAUCCUACCAAGCACUCUUUGAGAUUCGUGUUUAUUUACUGGUGGAGGUAAUGUACCAUACUUGUGUAUCCAUGACAACACUGUAACAUGCCAGAGCAGCACUAGGUCUUUUCUUGCUACUCCAAUAUGAGAUUAAAAUUAAGAGGCUAAAUCUUAUUAAAUAGCAGAAGCUUUUCAGAAGAUAAAACAUAAAGUUUAUGGGAGCAUAUGAUAGUUGUCCAUGGUACUAUAUUUGUGCUAUUUCAGUGCUUUCGUUAGGUUCAUCCGCUGAUUGUAAAUAGCACUGAAUGGUGGGCAUACCAGGAGAGAUAAAACUUUGCAGUUCCUUCUGGAGUUCUUAAUGCAGGAACAUGGCUCAGCAGUGUCAAGCUUGAACUGCUAAGAAUAUCCAUUUUAAAGAGUAUUAAAUUGGAUCAUACUGUAAUUUCUGUCUUUUCUGGAAAGGUGUUUCUGGUUCUUAACUAUUUUUCGUUCACAUGAAAAAUACUUUGAUUAAGAAUGUUAUGUAAUCCAGUGGAUUAGUAAUGUAAUUGCCUAUUUAUAUUUAUGAAUCCAUGCGUUCUCUCAGUGCAUUUGUUUUUGUUAUGGCAUUGAUAUGUUAUACCGAUACGAUUGAGAUGCGAAUCGUGUGUAUCUUGUGGAAUUUAGACAUAAAAUGAGAAUUCAAUUCUU